CAGUGUGGCCCUUUCAAGUAAGAUGAAAACCUCAGAAAUGGAAGGGAUUUCCUUUCCUUUGACUCUGCUGUCAAAAGCUGAGGCACCCUCGAAUGUUACAGGGCCAGGAAGUAAGGGCGCUUUUGGGGGCCGAUGUGGAGUUUUCUUCACAGGAAAAAAGCCAAUUCAGUACUAAAAUGCUACCCAAGAUUGACGGCAAAUACAAAGAGGAAGUCUGCUUAUGCAAAGAAGCGAGACAAGCUUUUGAAAAUAACAAUUAAAAAAGGAGAAACAAAGUAUUUUGCUGUAUGGUCCUUGUGGAGAUAGAUUCAUUCAUAAGCACCUUGCUGCCACACUGUGUCAGAUUAUUGGCCUGAGGAUCUCAUCAUCAGCUUUGUUUACUUACCCAAGACCUGAUUUUCUCAAAUUAAAUCUCACCAGAAAAUAAAUCGUCUAACUUCUAUCAGAGUGAGGAAGUUAAAAUUUGCCUGCAAGGACUCAGGAGGUAAGUGUAAUUUCUUUUUCUUAUUACGGUAAAAUGCAUCUCUCAGUCUGUCCUUGCUGCUGUAAAAAAAAAAAAAAAAACCACAGAUUGCGUAAUUUAUAAAUAAUCAAAAUUUUUUUGUCACAAUUAGGUGACAAAAAAUUAGGUGUCUGGUGAAGGCUCACCCUUUGCUUCUAAGAUGGUUCAUUGUUGCUGUGUCCUCAUAUAGCAAAAGGACAAAAGGGCAUUCACUUUAACCUCUUUUAAAAGAGCACUAAUCCCAUUUGUGAGAGUGGAGUGUUCGUGACAUAAUCACUUCCCAAGGCCUCACCUGUUAAUAUCAUCACAUUGGGUAUUAGGUUCCAACAUAAGAAUUUUGGAAAGAUGAAUAUGUUCAAACUAUAGCAACACAUAACAUAAAUUGUAUCUUUUUAACUAUUUUAAAGUGCACAGCUCAGUGUGAUUUAGUGCAUUCCCAAUGUUUUACAACUGUCAUCAAUGUUUAAUUCCAAUGAACAUAUUCACUGCUCCAAAAGAAACCUCAAACCAAUUAGGUAGUCAUUCCUAUUGCCCUCUUUCC
ensembl:lincRNA